rnacentral:rRNA from 1 species
AGAGUUUGAUCCUGGCUCAGGACGAACGCUGGCGGCGUGCUUAACACAUGCAAGUCGAGCGAUGAAGCUUCCUUCGGGGAGUGGAUUAGCGGCGGACGGGUGAGUAACACGUGGGUAACCUGCCUCAAAGUGGGGGAUAGCCUUCCGAAAGGAAGAUUAAUACCGCAUAAUAUAAGAGAAUCGCAUGAUUUUCUUAUCAAAGAUUUAUUGCUUUGAGAUGGACCCGCGGCGCAUUAGCUAGUUGGUAAGGUAACGGCUUACCAAGGCAACGAUGCGUAGCCGACCUGAGAGGGUGAUCGGCCACAUUGGAACUGAGACACGGUCCAGACUCCUACGGGAGGCAGCAGUGGGGAAUAUUGCGCAAUGGGGGAAACCCUGACGCAGCAACGCCGCGUGGGUGAUGAAGGUCUUCGGAUUGUAAAGCCCUGUUUUCUAGGACGAUAAUGACGGUACUAGAGGAGGAAGCCACGGCUAACUACGUGCCAGCAGCCGCGGUAAUACGUAGGUGGCGAGCGUUGUCCGGAUUUACUGGGCGUAAAGGGUGCGUAGGCGGAUGUUUAAGUGGGAUGUGAAAUCCCCGGGCUUAACCUGGGGGCUGCAUUCCAAACUGGAUAUCUAGAGUGCAGGAGAGGAAAGCGGAAUUCCUAGUGUAGCGGUGAAAUGCGUAGAGAUUAGGAAGAACACCAGUGGCGAAGGCGGCUUUCUGGACUGUAACUGACGCUGAGGCACGAAAGCGUGGGUAGCAAACAGGAUUAGAUACCCUGGUAGUCCACGCCGUAAACGAUGGAUACUAGGUGUAGGGGGUAUCAACUCCCCCUGUGCCGCAGUUAACACAAUAAGUAUCCCGCCUGGGGAGUACGGUCGCAAGAUUAAAACUCAAAGGAAUUGACGGGGGCCCGCACAAGCAGCGGAGCAUGUGGUUUAAUUCGAAGCAACGCGAAGAACCUUACCUGGACUUGACAUCCCUUGCAUAGCCUAGAGAUAGGUGAAGCCCUUCGGGGCAAGGAGACAGGUGGUGCAUGGUUGUCGUCAGCUCGUGUCGUGAGAUGUUAGGUUAAGUCCUGCAACGAGCGCAACCCUUGUUAUUAGUUGCUACCAUUAAGUUGAGCACUCUAAUGAGACUGCCUGGGUAACCAGGAGGAAGGUGGGGAUGACGUCAAAUCAUCAUGCCCCUUAUGUCCAGGGCUACACACGUGCUACAAUGGUAGGUACAAUAAGACGCAAGACCGUGAGGUGGAGCAAAACUUAUAAAACCUAUCUCAGUUCGGAUUGUAGGCUGCAACUCGCCUACAUGAAGCUGGAGUUGCUAGUAAUCGCGAAUCAGAAUGUCGCGGUGAAUACGUUCCCGGGCCUUGUACACACCGCCCGUCACACCAUGAGAGCUGGUAACACCCGAAGUCCGUGAGGUAACCGUAAGGAGCCAGCGGCCGAAGGUGGGAUUAGUGAUUGGGGUGAAGUCGUAACAAGGUAGCCGUAGGAGAACCUGCGGCUG